GACGAACGCUGGCGGCGUGCCUAAUACAUGCAAGUAGAACGCUGAAGGAGGAGCUUGCUCUUCUGGAUGAGUUGCGAACGGGUGAGUAACGCGUAGGUAACCUGCCUGUUAGCGGGGGAUAACUAUUGGAAACGAUAUCUAAUACCGCAUAACAGUAGAUGUUGCAUGACAUUUGCUUAAAAGGUGCAAUUGCACCACUACCAGAUGGACCUGCGUUGUAUUAGCUAGUUGGUGGGGUAACGGCUCACCAAGGCGACGAUACAUAGCCGACCUGAGAGGGUGAUCGGCCACACUGGGACUGAGACACGGCCCAGACUACUACGGGAGGCAGCAGUAGGGAAUCUUCGGCAAUGGACGGAAGUCUGACCGAGCAACGCCGCGUGAGUGAAGAAGGUUGUCGGAUCGUAAAGCUCUGUUGUAAGAGAAGAACGAGUGUGAGAGUGGAAAGUUCACACUGUGACGGUAUCUGACCAGAAAGGGACGGCUAACUACGUG
rnacentral:rRNA from 1 species